rnacentral:rRNA from 1 species
UACAGAGGAGCCAAGCGUUGUCCGGAUUGACUGGGCGUAAAGCGCACGCAGGCGGACGCGCGCGUGGGGUGUGAAAUCUGGCCGCUUAACGGCCAGGCGCCAUCCCAUACGGCGCGUCUGGAGCCAUGCAGAGGUCGGUGGAAUUGCCGGUGUAGUGGUGAAAUGCGUAGAUAUCGCUUGGAACGCCGAAGGUGAAAACAGACUGCUGGGGUUGCGCCGACGCUGAGACACGAAAGCCAGGGGAGCAAACGGG